rnacentral:rRNA from 1 species
AGAGUUUGAUCAUGGCUCAGAACGAACGCUGGCGGCAUGCCUAACACAUGCAAGUCGAACGAGACCUUCGGGUCUAGUGGCGCACGGGUGCGUAACGCGUGGGAAUCUGCCCUUGGGUACGGAAUAACUCAGAGAAAUUUGUGCUAAUACCGUAUAAUGACUUCGGUCCAAAGAUUUAUCGCCCAAGGAUGAGCCCGCGUAAGAUUAGCUAGUUGGUGGGGUAAAAGCCUACCAAGGCGACGAUCUUUAGCUGGUCUGAGAGGAUGAUCAGCCACACUGGGACUGAGACACGGCCCAGACUCCUACGGGAGGCAGCAGUGGGGAAUAUUGGACAAUGGGCGAAAGCCUGAUCCAGCAAUGCCGCGUGAGUGAUGAAGGCCCUAGGGUUGUAAAGCUCUUUUACCCGGGAUGAUAAUGACAGUACCGGGAGAAUAAGCUCCGGCUAACUCCGUGCCAGCAGCCGCGGUAAUACGGAGGGAGCUAGCGUUGUUCGGAAUUACUGGGCGUAAAGCGCACGUAGGCGGCGAUUUAAGUCAGAGGUGAAAGCCCGGGGCUCAACCCCGGAACUGCCUUUGAGACUGGAUUGCUAGAAUCUUGGAGAGGCGAGUGGAAUUCCGAGUGUAGCGGUGAAAUGCGUAGAUAUUGGGAAGAACACCGGUGGCGUAGGCGACUAGCUGGGCUGUAACUGACGCUGAGGAACGAAAGCCAGGGGAGCAAAUGGGAUUAGAUACCCCGGUAGUCC